CAGUCGCCGCGGUAAUACGAAGGGGGCUAGCGUUGUUCGGAAUUACUGGGCGUAAAGCGCACGUAGGCGGAUCGAUCAGUCAGGGGUGAAAUCCCAGGGCUCAACCCUGGAACUGCCUUUGAUACUGUCGAUCUGGAGUAUGGAAGAGGUGAGUGGAAUUCCGAGUGUAGAGGUGAAAUUCGUAGAUAUUCGGAGGAACACCAGUGGCGAAGGCGGCUCACUGGUCCAUUACUGACGCUGAGGUGCGAAAGCGUGGGGAGCAAACAGGAUUAGAUACCCCCGUAGUCCCUGUCUCUUAUAU
rnacentral:rRNA from 1 species